GUGUCAGCAGCCGCGGUAAGACGUAGGUGGCGAGCGUUAUCCGGAUUUACUGGGCGUAAAGCGCGUGCAGGUGGUUUGAUAAGUCGGGCGUGAAAUCUCCUGGCUCAACUGGGAGAGGCCGUCCGAUACUAUCAGACUUGAGGGCAGUAGAGGGAGGUGGAAUUCCGGGUGUAGUGGUGAAAUGCGUAGAUAUCCGGAGGAACACCGGUGGCGAAGGCGGCCUCCUGGACUGCCCCUGACACUCAGACGCGAAAGCUAGGGGAGCGAACGGGAUUAGAUACCCUCGUAGUCC
rnacentral:rRNA from 1 species